AUUUUCCGCAAUGGGCGCAAGCCUGACGGAGCAACGCCGCGUGGGGGAUGACGCCUUUCGGGGUGUAAACCCCUUUUCUGCGGGAGGACAACCGACAGUACCGCAGGAAGAAGGCCCGGCUAACUACGUGCCAGCAGCCGCGGUAAUACGUAGGGGCCGAGCGUUGUCCGGAAUUACUGGGCGUAAAGCGCGCGCAGGCGGCGCUUCAAGCCCGACGUGAAAGCCCCCGGCUCAACCGGGGAGGGUCGUCGGGGACUGGGGCGCUUGAGGGCGGUAGGGGCCGGUGGAAUUCCCGGUGUAGUGGUGAAAUGCGUAGAGAUCGGGAGGAACACCAGUGGCGAAGGCGGCCGGCUGGGCCGACCCUGACGCUGAGGCGCGAAGGCGUGGGGAGCGAAC
rnacentral:rRNA from 1 species